rnacentral:rRNA from 1 species
GGGUGUGAUCAUACUAGCGUUAAUUUACCAUAUCCCAUCAGAACUCCGUAGUUAAGCACGCUUCGGCUAGAGUAGUACUGGGAUGGGUGACCUU